CAUUAAAAGGUAAAUGCAAUUUUAUUGAUUACACCACGAAAUAUUUGUUUACACCGUGAAUCAUAAAAUAAUAAUACGACAUGAUGAAUGAUAAUUUAAUCACCGUCUUAGAAUAUAUGGUCGGGACGCAGGACUAUCAACCGCAGCCUGUCUAUCAAGAGACAAUAUUAAUGCCUAUUUAAUCCGCUAUUACAGCUAUUUGAAUAGUGUGAUGGGUAUCACAUUGUGUGCAUAU